rnacentral:tRNA from 1 species
GGUUGUGGCUCAGUGGUAGAGCACUUGCUUGGUAUGGUGAGGCCCUGGGUUCAAUCCUCAGCACCA